rnacentral:rRNA from 1 species
UGGGGAAUCUUGCACAAUGGGGGCAACCCUGAUGCAGCGACGCCGCGUGAGCGAUGAAGGUUUUCGAAUCGUAAAGCUCUGUCCUAUGGGAAGAUAAUGACGGUACCAUAGGAGGAAGCCCCGGCUAACUACGUGCCAGCAGCCGCGGUAAUACGUAGGGGGCGAGCGUUGUCCGGAAUUACUGGGCGUAAAGGGUUCGCAGGCGGCAUGGCAAGUCCGAUGUAAAAGGCGAAGGCUCAACCUUCGUAAGCAUCGGAAACUGUCAAGCUUGAGUGAAGGAGAGGCAAGUGGAAUUCCUAGUGUAGCGGUGGAAUGCGUAGAUAUUAGGAGGAAUACCGGUGGCGAAGGAGACUUGCUGGACUUCAACUGACGCUGAGGAACGAAAGCGUGGGGAGAAAACAGG